GUCUAUGGCCAUGCCGCCCUGAAUGCGCCCGAUCUUGUCUGAUCUCGGAAGUUAAGCAGGGUUGGGCCUGGUUAGUAUGUUGAUGGGAGACCACCUAGGAAUACCAGGUGCUGUAGGUG
rnacentral:rRNA from 1 species